UUACGGCCAUAUUAUGUUGAAACAACGGUUCUCGUGCGAUUUCCGAAUUUAAGCAACGUCGAGUCUGGUCAGUACUUAGAUGGGUGACCGCUUGGGAAUAGCACGUGUUGUAA